CCGAAAUAAUCAACGUUCAUUCAACAAAGGCUGUGCCCUGGUAUCGAAACGGCGUCAAGGCUGGACUAACACGGACAAUAACGGGGAAUCCCGUUUUAAAUGAGCACUUAACCAUCCAACAAACAUCUAUGUCAAGACUACCAACGGACCACAUCUAGCUGCCGUGUCUUCUGUCUCUCGCAUUGGACCACAGUGACAGUGCAUACCUAAUCUAAAUCCGAGUAUCGGCUAAGUUAACCAAGACCGACACCCAAAAUGGUUCAGAAUAAGAAUACCACCCCAGAAGUCACUGGCAUCCACCGCUCUUUAAAUGUCCAAAACCCUUUCGAUUCUGAAAUUAUACCAAAACAGACUCCAGUCUCCACGAGUCAAACUUACAUUUAGAUUGUCCCCCAA